GCAGAAACAGUUCUUGUUGGAUCAAUAACAACUGCAAGAAAGGGCUCCUGAUAUUGCUGGUUAAGCAUUUGUGUGGUAACAUCAAUGCCAGAGAGCCAGCAUCCAUAACCAGGAUGAGAAUGGUACCACCCAACCACAUUUUCCAGCCGACCAGCCUAUACCAAAAACUGAGUAAGAGAAUGGUCUGAACAAACUACAUCCAUAACCUUCCAAUGAGAGAUCAAUUGAGACACAAUGCAGAAAAUCCUACAUACAAAUGCACACAGCCUAAACACAUUUUCCAGCCGACCAGCCUAUACGAAAAACUGAGUAAGAGAAUGGUCUGAACAAACUACAUCCAUAACCUUCCAAUGAGAGAUCAAUUGAGACACAAUGCAGAAAAUCCUACAUACAAAUGCACACAGCCUAAAAUUUAAGCAACUCAAAAGAAUUUCUAGGUGCAACAAGAUUGAAUUCCGUGACCAGUGGAAGAUCUUUGACCAGAAGCUCUAAUAAACUGCAAGGUUACUAACUCCUGAUAGAGACAGAGGUAUUUAUAAAUACAAUUAGAAGCUCCAAAUAAAUACUUA
rnacentral:lncRNA from 1 species